rnacentral:tRNA from 1 species
GCCGAGGUCGUUCAAUGGCAGGACGAAGGUCUUUGAAGCCUUCUAUGUUGGUUCGAUUCCAGCCCUCGGUGCCA